UAUUGAUUUUAAAAGUUAAAUAUUCCUAGGCAACACACUGGGGAAUUGUUCCUCCUAGGAAAAAAUUUCAAAUCUCAAGCGAACAGCAUACACAGGUAGACAUUCUUUUCCCACUGUAAAGUCCACCAAGAAGCACAUCCCACUGGGUGGUAUGGUGCAAGGGCAUCAUUCUUUUGUUCUUCUAGUUAGGUGGGCAUUGUGUCUCUAUGUGCUCUAAUCACACAGGGCUCAUUCUCAACUCAGU
rnacentral:lncRNA from 1 species